rnacentral:rRNA from 1 species
UACAGGGGGGGCGAGCGUUUGUUCGGAAUUAUUGGGCGUAAAGGGCGCGCAGGCGGUCCUUCAAGUCAGAGGUGAAAGCCCAGGGCUCAACCCUGGAACUGCCUUUGAAACUGGAGGACUUGAGUACGGGAGAGGUGAGUGGAAUUCCGAGUGUAGAGGUGAAAUUCGUAGAUAUUCGGAAGAACACCAGUGGCGAAGGCGGCUCACUGGCCCGUUACUGACGCUCAGGCGCGACAGCGUGGGGAGCAAACAGG